AAAUAUUAAUGGUUUGUCACAUUGCCUUUAUGGUGGAUUUCAUACUGUGCACUACCGCUGGGGAUUCACCAGACAGCACAUAUGGGACUAAGUAUACCGGACAGCACGUAACAUCACAGAAGGGACAACAUAUGGGACCACAGCAGCACGGCAGCAGCAGUUGGUAACGUAUUGGUUGCACCCACUGCUGGAUAACCUACAGAGUGAGCACUAAUGUUCUGCAGAGCAGCUAUAUGAUUUAGAGAUUGCCUCUCUGGCGAAAUAGACUGACUGGCGGUAUUUCUCUUCAGUUAUACAGAUCAAUCAGCUAGCUAAUCAUCUACUUCAAUCUAAUUUCUCCAACCUCCUCUUUUGAUAAGACCUUCACUGUUCCAGUAUCAGACGUCUACAAGGUUAAACACACAGCUUGCCCAAAAGUUUCUCAUAGGAUGGAGAAUCCUUGCAAAGGUAAGAUAAGUGCCUUAAAUAGCUCUCCAUCAAGUCAAGAGUAGGAAGGUAUUGGUGGGCAAAAUCUUUAAAUCUGAUGUGGUUAUUUUAUUUUGUUUUUACGAUGCUUAAAGCAGAAUCCUGAUGAGUAUUUUUGUGUAACGGUGCUCAAGCAGGUGGUAAAAAAAAAAAUGUUAUACUUCCUUGCUCCCCAGCUUACCAACUAUUAUCAUGAAGCUCUGU